rnacentral:rRNA from 1 species
GACGAACGCUGGCGGUGUGCUUCACACAUGCAAGUCGAACGAGGUAGCAAUACCUAGUGGCGGACGGGUGAGUAACGCGUGGGAAUCUGCCUUUAGAUGGGGGAUAACGGGUCGAAAGACUCGCUAAUACCGCAUAUGACGAAAGUUGAAAGGAGUAAUCCGUCUAAAGAUGAGCCCGCGUCCGAUUAGCUAGUUGGUAGAGUAAAAGCCUACCAAGGCGACGAUCGGUAGCUGGUCUGAGAGGAUGAUCAGCCACAAUGGGACUAGAGACACGGCCCAUACUCCUACGGGAGGCAGCAGUGGGAAUUUUACGCAAUGGCGAAAGCCUGACGUAGCGACACCGCGUGAGCGAAGAAGCCCCUUGGGGUGUAAAGCUCUGUCAGCUGGAACGAAAAAAAUGACGGUACCAGCAGAGGAAGCAUCGGGCUAACUACGUGCCAGCAGCCGCGGU